rnacentral:lncRNA from 1 species
UUACAGAUGAGGAAACUGAGGCCCCACGUGGUGAAGUGGCAGAUCUGAUUCUAGAGCCCAGGUGCCCUCAGUGUCAGCCCCUGCCAUUCUGACCAUGCUGCACUCAGAUCUUGUUCUACUCUCUGGAGUUUGUCCACAUCACAGUUUUCUGGUAGCUCAUCAGACAAUUUUUACCCGAAUCCACCCACAACAAGAGACCAUUUGGAUAAUGUACAUUAUGGGAAGAGAACAGAGUCUCGGUGAAGAUCAUGUUUCCCCAGCAACACAGGUGCCAGGAGUAGCUGGCUCUGGUCCCAGCCCAGACUCAGAAAUCCUGAGCCACCAGACCAUUUCCAGAUUAACAAUGACCCACUGGAAACCAGUGUCAGCAUAACAACAGUUACGAGAGCUAAACCUACAAAAC